UCUCUGGUGGUGUAACGGUAGCACAGAGGUUUUUGGUGCCUUUAGUUGGAGUUCGAAUCUCUACUGGAGAA
rnacentral:tRNA from 1 species